AUUGAACGCUGGCGGCAGGCCUAACACAUGCAAGUCGAACGAGUGGCGGACGGGUGAGUAAUGUCUGGGAAACUGCCCGAUGGAGGGGGAUAACUACUGGAAACGGUAGCUAAUACCGCAUACCAUCGGAUGUGCCCAGAUGGGAUUAGCUAGUAGGGGGGGUAACGGCUCACCUAGGCGACGAUCCCUAGCUGGUCUGAGAGGAUGACCAGCCAAACUUGAACGUGACCACGGUCAAGAUCCUCACGGGAGGCAGCAGAGGGAAAUGUUGCAUAAUGGUCGAAAGCCUGAUGCAGCCAGGCCGCGUGUAGGAAGAAGGCCUUCGGGUUUAAAAGUACUUUCAGCGAGGAGGCGUUACUCGCAGAAGAAGCACCGGCUAACUCCGUGCCAGCAGCCGCGGUAAUUC
rnacentral:rRNA from 1 species